GUCAUAGUUUCUAGUGCGUGCACAUGUGACUUUUUUGAAGAAGCACAGCAAGAAGAAGGCCAAGCACUCAAGUAUAAACUUGCUUCGGUAGCUUCAAUUCUUGUUGCUGGUGCUAUUGGUGUUAGCCUUCCAUUGUUGGGAAACAAAAUUCCAGCGUUAAGGCCUGAAAAUGACAUUUUCUUCAUGAUAAAAGCAUUUGCUGCUGGUGUUAUUCUAGCAACUGCCUUCAUUCACAUACUGCCUGAGGCAUUUGAUGCUCUAACAUCUCCUUGCCUCAAGCAAAAUCCAUGGGGGAAUUUUCCCUUAACUGGUUUUGUUGCUAUGGUGUCUGCAAUUGGGACUUUAAUGUUGGAUUCGUUCGCUACAGGGUUUUAUAAGAGGCUUCACUUCAAGAACAAGAAUAAACUGGUAGUAAAUAUGGAUGAAGAGACAGGCGAAGAUGAGCAUUCAGGUCAUGUACAUGUUCAUAUUCAUGCUACUCAUGGUCAUGGUCAUGGUUCUGCUUCCCCAACUCAAGAUUUGGGUUUGCCAGAUCUGCUCAGACGUCGGAUUAUAUCACAAGUAUUGGAGGUAGGGAUUUUGGCUCACUCAGUGUUUAUUGGAAUAUCUCUGGGUGCUUCUGAAAGUGCUGAAAUUAUAAAGCCUCUCUUCGUAGCCUUGUCUUUCCAUCAGUUCUUUGAGGGCAUGGGACUUGGAGGCUGCAUAUCUGAGGCAAAAUUCAAAUCCA
rnacentral:misc_RNA from 1 species